rnacentral:misc_RNA from 1 species
CAUUCAGUAGCCUAGCUAUCUUGUUUACACCCUUGUUUUUUUGCGCACUUCACUGUAUCCCUCGGCGGGCUUGCUCGCCGUGUGGACAACAUUUAUAACCUUUUUUAAUCUUCAAUCAGUCGUCUGAAUUAUAUUUAAUAAUUA